GAUGAACGCUGGCGGCGUGCCUAACACAUGCAAGUUGAGCGAUUCUCUUCGGAGAAGAGCGGCGGACGGGUGAGUAACGCGUGGGUAACCUGCCCUGUACACACGGAUAACAUACCGAAAGGUAUGCUAAUACGAGAUAAUAUGCUUUUAUCGCAUGGUAGAAGUAUCAAAGCUCUGGCGGUACAGGAUGGACCCGCGUCUGAUUAGCUAGUUGGUAAGGUAACGGCUUACCAAGGCGACGAUCAGUAGCCGACCUGAGAGGGUGAUCGGCCACAUUGGAACUGAGACACGGUCCAAACUCCUACGGGAGGCAGCAGUGGGGGAUAUUGCACAAUGGGCGAAAGCCUGAUGCAGCAACGCCGCGUGAGCGAUGAAGGCCUUCGGGUCGUAAAGCUCUGUCCUCAGGGAAGAUAAUGACGGUACUUGAGGAGGAAGCCCCGGCUAACUACGUGCCAGCCGCCGCAGUAA
rnacentral:rRNA from 1 species